GUGGAUUAGAUACCCUGGUAGUCCACGCCGUAAACGAUGGGUACUAGGUGUAGGGGGUAUCGACUCCCUCUGUGCCGCAGUUAACACAAUAAGUACCCCGCCUGGGGAGUACGGUCGCAAGAUUAAAACUCAAAGGAAUUGACGGGGGCCCGCACAAGCAGCGGAGCAUGUGGUUUAAUUCGAAGCAACGCGAAGAACCUUACCUAGACUUGACAUCUCCUGAAUAGCCAAGAGAUUGGUGAAGCCCUUCGGGGCAGGAAGACAGGUGGUGCACGGUUGUCGUCAGCU
rnacentral:rRNA from 1 species